rnacentral:rRNA from 1 species
UACGGGGGGGGCAAGCGUUGUUCGGAAUUACUGGGCGUAAAGGGCGCGUAGGCGGCCUGCUUAAGUCACACGGUGAAAUCCCUACGGCUCAACCGGGGAACUGCGUGUGAUACUGGCGGGCUUGAAUUCGGGAGAGGGAUGGUGGAAUUCCAGGUGUAGCGGUGAAAUGCGUAGAUAUCUGGAGGAACACCGGUGGCGAAGGCGGCAUCCUGGGACCGAGAUUGA